GAUUCCGUAGCUCAGCUGGUAGAGCAUAACACUUUUAAUGUUAGGGUCCUGGGUUCGAGCCCCAGCGGGAUCAC
rnacentral:tRNA from 2 species